GUUUAAAAAUUAUUCUUUUGAGAUCUCUGUCCGUCUCCGUUUCUAUCUGCUUUCUUUUUCAACCGAUCUUCGCUACCGAACAUUCCUUAGGUGGAAUUGAGCUCUCAAUCCUCUCCAGUUCGGAUCCAAUACAAAUGGCAAAAGAUGAGGAAUGUUGUUCUACUCAGCUGAUUGAUGGAGAUGGUGCAUUUAAUGCUACUGGAAUGGAACACUUUAUCAAAGAUGUGAGAUUGGCGGAAUGUGGACUAUCAUAUGCUGUAGUCUCCAUCAUGGGCCCACAAAGUAGUGGGAAAAGCACUCUAUUAAAUCAUUUGUUUGGUACCAACUUUAGAGAGAUGGAUGCUUUUAAAGGAAGGUGUCAAACCACUAAGGGUAUCUGGGUAGCUAGAUGUGCUGGCAUUGAACCUUGU
rnacentral:misc_RNA from 1 species